rnacentral:rRNA from 1 species
GUGAACAUACCUAUUUGUUGCCUCGGCGGUGCCUGUUCCGACAGCCCGCCAGAGGACCCCAAACCCUGAUUACAUUUAAGAAGUCUUCUGAGUAAACCGAUUAAAUAAAUCAAAACUUUCAACAACGGAUCUCUUGGUUCUGGCAUCGAUGAAGAACGCAGCGAAAUGCGAUAAGUAAUGUGAAUUGCAGAAUUCAGUGAAUCAUCGAAUCUUUGAACGCACAUUGCGCCCGCUAGUAUUCUGGCGGGCAUGCCUGUCCGAGCGUCAUUUCAACCCUCAAGCCCCCGGGCUUGGUGUUGGGGAUCGGCGAGCCUCCGCGCCCGCCGUCCCCUAAAUCUAGUGGCGGUCUCGCUGUAGCUUCCUCUGCGUAGUAGCACACCUCGCACUGGGAAACAGCGCGGCCACGCCGUUAAACCCCCAACUUCUGAACGUUUGACCUCGGAUCAGGUAGGAAUACCCGCUGAACUUAAGCAUAUC